UUUAUUCUUGCUUGGAUUUAUGUUUGUUAAAAUUUUAAUAUAUAUGUAAAUUAUUGUGUAAUAUUAUCUUGAUGAUAAAAUGGUAGCAGUGUAUAAAUUUGAAUCUGAGAGAGUACUUGAUUCAGUAAUGAGUUAUAAUAUUGAUAUAAUAUGUGCCAGCAAUCGCGGUUAAACAUAUAAUAUGAAUGAAUAUUUUUAGUUAAAACAAUUUUUGUUAAUAGUGAAUUAUGAAAUUGGUAAUUUGGUGGUGGAAUUAGGAAAUUGUUGAUAUUUAAAUAUUAGUGUAGAUGGAAUUAUUGUGAAAUUUUUUUAUAAACUAGGAUUAGAUACCCUAUUAUUUUGAAUAUAAAUUAGUUAAACUUAAGUAGUACCAGUAUAGUCUUGAAACUUAAAGAAUUUGGCGGUAUUUUAGUCUGUUUAGAGGAGUUUGUUCUAUUAUCGAUAACCCGCGUUGUAACUUACUUAUUUUAAUUAGUUUGUAUAUCGCUGUUGUUGAAGAUCUUUUUAGAGUUGAAAUUUUCUUGAUAUAAAAUUAUUUAGGAUUUCAGGUCAAGGUGCAGUUUAUAAAUAAGUAGAAAUGAGCUACAAUAAUGGUAAAUUAGACGGAAUUUGAAGUGUAAGGUGAUUAUGAAGGUGGAUUUAAUAGUAAUUUUGAAUAGAAGGUAAAUAUGAAAGUAGCUCUAAGAUAUGUACAUAUUGCCCGUCACUCUCGUUAAUAAGGUGAGAUAAGUCGUAACAUAGUAGGUGUACCGGAAGGUGUAGCUAGUAAGGG
rnacentral:ncRNA from 1 species